GAAAGGUAUGUAAAAGUUGCAGUGUUCAGGAAUUGCUUGCCAUAUUUCCAACGGCUGUAUGUAAAGAGUGGGAGCUGUCUUGAAUGGUGCAGAUGUAAUCUCCCAGAAGUAGUUUUCAUCAGCUGCUUCUGUAUAGAUUGGUGUGGGACAUGUCUGGAGGACCUGCACCUUAUCCAUCAAGGGUCACACCUUGGCUUUCAUCAGGAUGUACCUGAGGUCCCACUCAUCGUAUCGCCCCAUGAGGCCCUUGCCAGAGCGUUAGCAGCUUCAAUUCUGCACUGGGAAGUAAUUAGAGAAGCAAGUCCUCAGUCUGAAACACCUGAUGGCAGGCCCCUUUGUUAUAGGGGCUGCUUCCUGGGUGCUCUAACUAUGUAGAAGUUUCUCACUGGAGAAGGAGCCUAAUGCUUUGAGUUCAGACUGUAUUGUACAACUUUGUCAGCUUGGGGUGACUGUUCUUCCCACAUCUCCCUAUAUGAGAUCUAACAUUCCUCAUGACUGUAGCUAGAAUGGCAAGAAAAAUCAGUGGAGGACUGUGGUACCUCUCAUAUGAAAAGCACAAGGGGAGGGAGGUAGUUCCAGUGGUGGAUAUCUUUGUGACUGUAGGGCCCAGUGGGUCUACGAACUCAAGCCUGCAGAACUGCGAGGCAUCAAACACCUCCAUGCUGCCACCCAGCAAUAACUGUAACUAGCUUACACUGCACUACACAUAACUUGCUAUGGACACACAUCAUGAGAAAUUCCACCUCAGGGGGUGUGACAGGCAGCAGUCUCAUGGCUCCUGAUUGGCUUUCUGCCCUAUAUAAACCUAUCAGGUGUUUCAGGAAAUGUCCAGUUAACAGUGUGGAUCUCCCGUAGUUGUCGCGAUCAUUCCUGCUCUUGAACUUCUGGCUUUGACCUUGGCUUGAUUUGGACCUCGGCUCCUGACCUGGAUCCUGAAACUUGAGUUGGACUCUGAUCUUUGGUAUCAACCCUGGCCUGGAAUUUUACUACAAACUCCUCCGCUACUGUCAGUCUCAGGUUUGACCCUGCUCUGACCCUAAGUCGUGACUGCCCUUGUCAGGACAGUUUGCCUGGACCACCCUAACCUGUGGUGAAGGCCUACCCUGUGAGACCCUGGAUUCCCUGUCCGGCAUGCCCCAGAGGGUACUGGAGAUGCCUGAACAGCUUGAGCACUCCCAGGAGGAGCUUCCCGUGCUUUGAGCCCAAGUAUUGCAGAUCACAACAGAGAACCAAGCUCUGUGCAAGCAAUCCACCCAGCUCCAUGAUGAAAAUGUGGCACUGCAUGCCCAACUGGCACAGCACGCUGCACCUCGCCAGAUGCUAUGAUAGCAGGCAGCUCAGCUGCAGGAUGAAAAUGUUGCACUAUGAGCGUGCACU